CCUUGUUGAAUAAGUCUGAAUCACAUUUGUACCUGCUCACUGACCAAGUUCAGGUCAUCAUGGAAAAGCAGAUCUACUGGUAACACAGAGGAGAUAGCCCACAUUAAUGAAUGAAGAAAACAGCUUGAAGAAAACCCCAAAUUCACCAGAGCUAUGCAAACUUCCUAAAGAAGAUUUGAAAGAGAGCAUGGACCCAGGAUCAUUAUGGGAUGCAGAAAGUAGCAGGAAGUAAAACGGUGUUAUAGAUGUUUCUGUUCAAACUCCUGUGUCAUUACUGCCUACUUGUGUAAACUCAGAAUAGAAAAGUAGAGAUGGGGGAGAAACAACAUUGUGUUGAAGCUAUAUCUGCUCCUGUUGCAUCAAUGAUACAAUGAUCAGUGGGUCAACAAAUGAAGGCAAUAAGACAUCGAGAAAGUGGCAAUAAAGAAGACCCUGCAUGAUUAGCUUCACUUGUUAUCUUCAUCAGAUCUUCUUAAACCUUGUACCAUUUUUAGCACUAGAAGCUAUGUACUUGUGCUUUCCUUUCAUUUGUUAAUAUAUAUAAAUGUAUGAUAUCAUACUUUAAAUGCAUUAAGGGGGGAGCAGGGCAGAGAGUUAAGCGCACAUGGGUUGAAACCAAGGACCUGCAUAAGGAUCCCAGUUCCAGCCCUUGGCUCCCCACUUGCAGGGGAGUUGCUUUGCAAGUGGUGAAGCAGGUCUCAGGUGUUUAUCUUUCUCUCCCCCUCUCUGUCUUACUCUCCUCUCUCCAUUUCUCUCUGUCCUAUCCAACAACAAUGAUAGCAAUAACAACAACAAUAACAACAAUAAGGACAACAAGAGAGAAAAAACAUGUAAAUAAACAAAUACAAUGAUAGAAAUGUUUAAAAAAUUGAAAAAGCAUUAAGGAAAAGAAAAAAAAAUUUACAUAGAGCUAAGCUAAGAGACAAAGAGAAAAUGAUAGAGAGACCACAGCACCAAAGCUUCCUUCAAUGUGGUGAGGGCCAGGCUCAAACCUGGGCUAUGCUAAAAAAAAAGCAGAAUGUUAUCCAUAUGAGUUAGUUCACCUGUCUAAGAAAAAAAAUUAUAUUCAAAAUAUUAGAACAGUGUUAUUUUUUAUCUUGCUGACCAACAAAUAGAUUGGCACUCCUUGAAUAUAGUAUCUAUUAUCUAUCUUAGAUAUGUUAAAGGAAGCAGGGAAGGAAGAGGUUUUUAAUUUCUGUAGAAUUUCUUCAGGAGGUGGCUGGAAAAAAACUAUGGAAUAUAGCAACAAUAUGUAAGUAAUUAUAUGCAUUUGGUUUAAAAUAACAGCCAGUAGGACCCAAAUUCCCAUCCAUAGAUAAGGAUACACUUGUAAUGCAUCUUCAUCAGCACCAUUGCAAAACAAGACUAAUAAUACUGUGAAUUUACUCAAGUUAAAGAAUUUUAGAUGAUCUACUAUGCAUAUGUAUGUACUAUAUAUAUGCAUAUAUAUUCCAUUUUAUAAUAUCCUUGUUUAUGAACAGAUAGUAACAGUAAAUAAGAGAGUAUUUUUUCCUCUUUCUUGCAUUUUCAGGAAUAAAAAAUGGACACACCAAUGCUGGUUAUCCGAUUAGUUUUUGAAAUUUCAGUCAACUGUAAUUCAGAAUCUAGGAACCACUGCCACACUCAAAUGUAUAGGAUAUUACAUAGGUUUGUAUAAUGCAUUUAUAGACACUACUAUUUUGUUCUGUUUUAUUAUUUUUUUAUUGCCACCAGGGUUAUGUUAUUUCGGCUUGGUGCCUGUACUAGAAAUCUACAACAUCUCCCAACAUCUGUUUUUCCCUUUUUGAUAAGACAGAGAAAUUGAGAGGGGAAGGGAAGACAGGAGAAAGAAGAUAGACAUUUACAGACCCACUUCACUGCUCCUGAAGUGUCCCCCCCAGCUGGUGGAGAGUGGGGCCGUGAACCUAGGUCUUUCUGCCAUGUCCAAUAUUGUAAAUUUAUCUGUGGUAACGAUAAAUGGAUUUAUAUUAGUUACGUGACUGCUAUGACAGAUUAUUGUGAACUUGAGUUAAAAUAACAGAAUAUUACUAUUUCACAGUUCUGGAGAACAGAAAUUUGAGAUUAAGGUGCCAGAAUGACCAAUGCCCCGACUCAGCCUACUCACCGAGGUUUUAGAGAAUUCUUGCUUCCCUCUUUCAGGUUCUGGGGUAGUCUAUUCCUUGGCUCCUAGUACAACAUGACUCUAUUCUGUGUAAUUUUUUUUUUUCUGAAAAGUUAGCAAUCACUAUUUGCUUUAUAACUUGAGACUUCAUACAGAUAAAUCAGAAAGUCUUGUCAGUUUACUGUUUUUUUUCUGCAUGUACCAGUGGCCCUUUUUACUUAAGAUAUUUGUGUAUUUAGUUAUAAUUUUCUCCAAUAUAUUCUUUUAUGUAAUUCUUAUUAGAUAUGUUGUAACUCAAGUCUUUGAAGUUGUUUGUCAGUCUUGGUUGUUUAUUUUUCAGUUUCACAGGAAAAUUUGCUGACCUCUUUUAGAUACUACUAAUUUGUUCUUGAUUUUAUAUUCUUCUAUUAUUUCUAUUACAUGCUUUGUUUUCUGGAAUAAUAGCUAAUAGCUGUAACUUUCUUUAUGCUUCUUUUUCAUAGCAAUAUUAUUUUUUGUGUUGUGUUGCAACAUCAAUUUUGAAUUUCUCUGAUGACAUUAAUGAAAAUACAUAGGAAUAUAUAAUUCUCUUCCUGAAUUUUCUGUCCUUUAUUGAAAACAGUCCCUGCACUCCAAAUGUCAGGUGGUCUUGCUUACUCAUUUAUACUUACGGAGGAAGAACUAAUUGUUUAAUACUCUAUUGGUAGUUGAUGCCAAUUCAUUCUUUCGAUUAGGGAAUUGGUAACUAAUUACAGUUAUGCAUAUUGUUCUUUAAUUAUUUAAUGAUUGCCAAAGGCCCUUUCUGCUUUCCAAUUCUUGGUACUAAGUUUCAGUACAUCUGCUCUUGUCUUUCUAGUAGGUUUUUCCUGUGCAUAUGUUGAGCCUGUGGUUGGUUCCCUCAGUUCUUGUCAACUUAAUUCCAUUUGCUCCCUAGCUUCCAGGAAUCCCUCGAAAUUUCAGGGCUCCUCAGUGUCACCCUUUAUAUGCAGUGUUUUUUCCAGUUUAGACUUUAAAAGAGUUAUUUUUCCUGUCAUUUAGAAGGAUUGGGGUGGGAAUGAGAUGGUAUACAUAUGUGCUCAGUUGACUUUCUUCAGUUAAUCUACUUAAUAUU